AUGCUGUCCUCAAACUGCUCCUCCCAGCCGGCGAAGCCGCGACGCUUUGACACCAGUCGACGGACCACUGUUGCACCAAAGUCUCGCGGUCCUGCUUCUCAGAGGGAGGAUAAGAACAUGAACACCAUCACCUCAUCGGCCCCACGGCGGCCUACUAAAACCCCCAUCGCACCGGCCAGGAGCAGGGUGGGACCCCAGCCUAGGGCGCCAGUAAGCCAGUCCAGGUUCAGCUCACAAAAACAGGCUUUGCCUGUCUCAAAAUCAGUCCGGCCCAAACAGAGGAAUGCACGUGCAUCAGCAGCGACCAAAACUGCACCUCCAGCAGCUCCUCCUCCACUUCCCUCGGUUCUCUCCCUUGAUCCAAACUGCAACGAACCCAGCCUCCCAUGUCUGUGCUGUGACGGGCGCUCUCCGCAGGACAACAACAGUAUGUUCAACCACAACCACAACAACAACAACACCAUCUCUCUGAGACAGCAGCUGCAGAUGCCUCUUCCUCCACCUGUGUUACACCAGAGGCAAGAUGGGAAGGUGGCCAAAGAACAGCCUGCAUCUCCUGAGCAGGCGCAGGCCCAGAUGGAACUCCCCGCUUGCCCUGCUGCCGGUCUGGAGAAUGAAAAUAAAAAUGCAAACGAAAGCACAAGUUUGGACAACAAGAAAUAUGUGGAAUUGCAGGAAGAAGAUGACAAGGAGGAGAGCAGCGGGGAUAUCGAUAUCGACGACGAAGAGGAAGCUGACGUUGACGAGGAAGACGAUGAUGAUGAUACCCUUGUUCCAUCCUGCUGUGACUGUGGCCCCUCUCUCCUGGAGUUUUCACUUUCCUCCUCUACCUCUUCUUCAUCCUCCACUUCCAUUAGCUCUUGCUCUGAUUUGGAGUCAGACUGUGCAGAUCAAUCUGCCUUUAUCUGCUCUUUCCAGGACAAAGAUAAUCCAGCCAGCAUGCUUUCCCCUAAAGACCACUCUGCUCUUCUACAAACCUCUGAAUGCCAGCCUCCUGCUCGGUUACCCCCGUCCCUUCCUCUUUCCACUAAUCCUUUUAUCCCAAUAUCACAUUCCCCUUGUUCCCCCGAUGAAGGCUACCCCUCUGCUUUGGACUCACCCUCACCUGACUACCUGGGAAUCAAAGAUGAUUCUGAAGUCACCAAACUGGGUUUGCUUGACUUUUUAGAGUCUGUAGGGGAGUUUGGGAAAAUGGAGCGCUUCAGCCAGGUGAUCCAAGUUGCUCGAUGGGACUUGGAGGGGGAACAAAACUGGGAUGUAUUGAGGGAUCGUCUGGAUCACCUGGAUCGCUUGGAGAAGGUGAACCGUGAAGUGAAAUUGGCUUAUGUUGCCAGACUCCAUGAGAAGGGGUUUGAUCUUGGAGACCUCGAAGAACAAGAUCUCUCAGACGUCAUGGAUGAAAUGGGCAACAUUGAAAUUCCCUGGAAGUUGUAUAAAGGACAGGGAGGAACAAUGGGAGACUCUCAGGAGUUUUCAGAUGCAGGGGUUGAUCUCACUGGCCCAUCUGACUGUGAUGAACCUUUUGUUCCCGAUUCGCUCACCCCUUCCCCCAUUGAGCCUCCACCAAGACCCCCCAAACCCCCUGCACGUCAUGCCAGCGUGAGCUCUGACCUCCAUACCUACAUUAAUAUCAGCAGAGAGACCACCUCCAUGGUGGUAUCCACCUCUCCUACGCUCUCUACUUUCUCCCCCAACUCCUCCUCUCCAACAUUCACCACUUUUAAAUGUGAGAAACCCUUACCUCCAGCUCCACCCUCUAUUCCUCCUCUCCCCACCGCAAAGGCAGUUCCUUACCUCACACUUUACACUACACCAUCUCCUCCUCCAUCUCUCCCCACCCCAACUCCUCCCAUUCCUCCACCUCGGAGGCGCCACCUUGCCCGGAAGGAGGCACAGCGGCUUGCCGCUCUUCAGGCAGAACAGGAAAAGACUCCCCUUUCUCUUCCUCCUCCUACCACACGUCCCCCACCCCUUCCUCCUCCGCCAGUGAUCUCAAUCUCCUCAUCUCCACCUGGUAUACCACCUCCACCUCCCCUCCCUCCUCCCCCUUCCUUCCACGCUUUGGACGUAGAGAUUCGGAAGCUUUUGAUGCUUGCUGGCUUAACCCAAGCAGAGCUCCUCAAACUCAGUCCAGAGCUUGGUAUUUGUGUUGGGGGAAUGGAAAGUGAUGAAGAAAGUGUUCCUUUAUCCAGGUCUUUGGAGGAAAGUGAGUUUCGACUAAAAGAGACAGAAGACAACAGCAAAGAUGGCGUUGGGUUGUUGGCCAAAGAUCGGAAGUCCAGCAGAAGCAGUCCAAAAUUAGAUACCCCUGUCGAAAAUAAAAAGGGGGAGGAAAGCAGAGACACGCAGAGGACAACUUCUUUCACAGAGAUAGCGAGGAGAAAGAAAAGGAACAGUGGUUUGUACUCAGAGCCUUACUACAGCACAGGUUUUAGCAAUAUACAGGAAACCAAAUCAGAGAACAUGAGCUACGAGUCUUUUCCCUAUCCUACUGAGUUAGCAGAAACACCUCCGCCCCCACCUCCUCCUCGCCCUUUACCUCCCAUCCCCCCAUCUUUGCCCCCUGUCAAAGUCAGCACUCUACCUGCAAACUCUGCACAGCCCGAGCGAUUCGAUUGGCUGAUAGCGUUCACCCCUGAAUGUGAAGGUUCGAAACAGUCUCUGGACAUGAGAAAGUGUCCCGUCGACUCUGAGAAGAAGGCCGGUACCUCGAGCGCGCCUCCAGGGUGUGCUCCAAAAGUGACAACAUUUAAGGAGCUGCGCUUCCGAAACAAGAGCGCGUCCCUGCCGACAAGGGUGAUCACCGACCCCGACCCCGACCCGACUGUCAUAACCCCAGACCCGGACAUACUGUACAAUCUGAAAUGGAGACGAGAGAAGGCGGGCAGCGAUGGCAGCCAAUGGGAGUACACCUCUCAAGCUCAGGCGUUGUUCAUACAGCCACCACCAGCUCUGACCUCGAUGGCUGCCCUGAAGGAAAUGCUGCAGAGAGCCGACAAGGAAGGCGGACAGCUGGAGCUGUGCCCGACGCAGAAGUUUGGCUGCUCGGUCAGCGACAGCAGCCUGUGGACCACGGGCCGACAGUGGGAGCGUGAAGAUGGGAAGGAAAGAAGAGAAGAAAAAGUCGAGGUCGCUGUGAGAGGAGAAGCUGAUGGAGGAAGAACUUUUGAAUCAAGAACUUCAAGUGAGUAUUAA
rnacentral:lncRNA from 1 species